CGUUAAUUAACUUUCUUCCCCAAAAAUCCUUUUCGGCUAGAACAAUUGAGAGGGGAGGAGGAGCAGUACUUAGCGGCGUCGAUUCUUGAAUGGAUCGGAUCGAGCAAAGGGAGGGAGCCCCGUGCUUGGAUUUCAAAGACGAAGCUAGACGAUCGAAGGAGAAGAUGGUUACGGAAACCGUCGGUGGAAACUGGAGGUCGCUUCGUGUGGGAAUCAAGGCGCGACGGCGGCUAUAGGUCGAUGGCGGCGCGUGUAGAGGCAAGGGCAAUCUGGGGCUGGGUCAUGGAGCAUCCCUGGCGUCGGACGAAGGAGAUGGGAUGAAUCGGCGAUGGGAAAUCGCGAUUCCAGGAUUUUUGGAGCGCCAGAUUCCUCGCCGGAUGCUGGGUUUUUCUUCGCCGGCGUCGACCUGGCCUUGUCGGAGUCAGAGGUUGAAGAAGAUAGCCUUUUAUAUAUAAAGAAAAGCAUAAUAAAUA
rnacentral:lncRNA from 1 species